GCCAGUAUGGCAUAGUGGUUUGAGUGUUGGACUAUGACUCUGGAGACUAGGGUAUGAAUCCCUGCUUAGCCA